CCUACGGGGGGCAGCAGUGGGGAAUAUUGGACAAUGGGCGCAAGCCUGAUCCAGCCAUGCCGCGUGAGUGAUGAAGGCCCUAGGGUUGUAAAGCUCUUUUGUGCGGGAAGAUAAUGACGGUACCGCAAGAAUAAGCCCCGGCUAACUUCGUGCCAGCAGCCGCGGUAAUACGAAGGGGGCUAGCGUUGCUCGGAAUCACUGGGCGUAAAGGGUGCGUAGGCGGGUCUUUAAGUCAGGGGUGAAAUCCUGGAGCUCAACUCCAGAACUGCCUUUGAUACUGAGGAUCUUGAGUUCGGGAGAGGUGAGUGGAACUGCGAGUGUAGAGGUGAAAUUCGUAGAUAUUCGCAAGAACACCAGUGGCGAAGGCGGCUCACUGGCCCGAUACUGACGCUGAGGCACGAAAGCGUGGGGAGCAAACAGGAUUAGAUACCCCGGUAGUC
rnacentral:rRNA from 1 species